rnacentral:rRNA from 1 species
GAGCGGCGAACGGGUGAGUAACACGUGAGCAACCUACCCUCAACUUUGGGAUAAGCCUCGGAAACGGGGUCUAAUACCGGAUAACACCAUNNNUCUCAUGGGGGGUGGUUGAAAGUUCUGGCGGUUGGGGAUGGGCUCGCGGCCUAUCAGCUUGUUGGUGGGGUAAUGGCCUACCAAGGCGUCGACGGGUAGCCGGCCUGAGAGGGCGACCGGCCACACUGGGACUGAGACACGGCCCAGACUCCUACGGGAGGCAGCAGUGGGGAAUAUUGCGCAAUGGACGAAAGUCUGACGCAGCAACGCCGCGUGAGGGAUGACGGCCUUCGGGUUGUAAACCUCUUUCAGCAGGGACGAAGCGAGAGUGACGGUACCUGCAGAAGAAGGACCGGCCAACUACGUGCCAGCAGCCGCGGUAAUACGUAGGGUCCGAGCGUUGUCCGGAAUUAUUGGGCGUAAAGGGCUCGUAGGCGGUUCGUCACGUCGGGAGUGAAAACUCGGGGCUUAACCCCGAGCCUGCUUCCGAUACGGGCAGACUAGAGGUAGGCAGGGGAGAGCGGAACUCCU